rnacentral:rRNA from 1 species
GACUCUCGGCAACGGAUAUCUCGGCUCUCGCAUCGAUGAAGAACGUAGCGAAAUGCGAUACUUGGUGUGAAUUGCAGAAUCCCGCGAACCAUCGAGUCUUUGAACGCAAGUUGCGCCCGAAGCCGUCAGGCCGAGGGCACGCCUGCCUGGGCGUCA